AAAACAGAGACAUGAGAAAACUAUUGAACAUGUGUGUCUGUGUAUUCCUUUGCUAAGAAAUUUGAUGUCUCAGGGGUUAAGAGCACUGGUUGUUCUUGCAGAGGACUUGGGUUUGAUUCCCAGUGCCCACGUGAUGGCUCACAACCAUCUGUAACUCAGCUCCCAGGAGACCCAGCACAGCCUUAUGACUCCUGCAAGUACCAUGCAUGGCGUGCACGCGGUGCACAGACACAUACAGGCAGGCCACUCAUAUGCAUAAAAUAAAUGUAUUUUAACUUCCUGUUUAACAAAAUCGUCAUUGUAGAUUAACGUUUAACGAAUUUUCCUUUGUUUCUUUCUUUCUUUGUUUCGAAGGGUUUUUUUGUUUUGUUUUGUUUUGAUUUUGAGACAGAAUCUCAAGAUGUAGCCCAGGUUAGUCUUAAGUCACCAUCUUCCUGCUCCUGCGUUUCAAGUAACAGGGACCAUAGGUCUAAAUCAUGGCACAGGACUUCAUAUUGUUGUGCUUUAUGGCAAAUUCCCAGUAUUAUAAUCCACACUUUCGUAUCUCUGUAAUUGAUAAUAAAUUUUAUAUAGCAGUUAGC
rnacentral:lncRNA from 1 species